CCUACGGGAGGCAGCAGUGGGGAAUAUUGCGCAAUGGGCGAAAGCCUGACGCAGCGACGCCGCGUGAGGGAUGAAGGUCUUCGGAUCGUAAACCUCUGUCAGCAGGGAAGAACGGUCACUGGGCUAAUCAGCAGUGAAUUGACGGUACCUGCAAAGCAAGCACCGGGUAACUCCGUGCCAGCAGCCGCGGUAAUACGGAGGGUGCGAGCGUUAAUCGUAAUUACUGGGCGUAAAGCGCGCGUAGGCGGUAUGUCAAGUCACGGGUGAAAUCCCCGGGCUCAACGUGGGAACUGCCUUUGAAACUGGCAAGCUGGAGUGUGGGAGAGGAUAGUGGAAUUCCAGGUGUAGGGGUGAAAGCCGUAGAGAUCUGGAGGAACAACAGUGGCGAAGGCGACUAUCUGGAACAUAACUGACGCUGAGGAGCGAAAGCGUGGGUAGCAAACAGGAUUAGAUACCCUGGUAGUC
rnacentral:rRNA from 1 species